GGGGUUAUAGCUCAGCUGGUUAGAGCGCUACGUUGACAUCGUAGAGGUCAUUGGUUCGAUCCCAACUAACCCCACCA
rnacentral:tRNA from 1 species